AAGAUAAAGUUUGAUAAGAGGCUUGCAUGUUUGUUAUGUGUUCCAUAUACGUAGAGUGUAUACGCAGUGUUGGGCUGUGAAGAUACGUAUAAUCAUGUGUGUUAUUGUCGGCUAUAAUACAAGUACGUGUAUAAUAACUAUAGCCUGGGCUUAUACAAGGUCAAGGUACCGCCCCCUCUAAUGUAAUUAAGACCACCACUUGCUCUCUACUAAUAGUCCACUUGCGUAUGCUUAUUGCUAACUGCCAACUUUAACCUAUACAGCUAACUUCCCUCCUCUCAUCUAUAUGGUCCUCACAGCCUCUAUGUUACGCUGGGGGAAGAGGUGUUCAAUGUGACUGAUGACAAGGGCAGUAUCAACGUGAUAUUGGUGGAUGGACUGCCAGCUUGGGACCACUCUACUGCCUACCCCUGAGGGUGACUAUACGCCCACACACAGGCACUGGGAGUACUACUGUUCAAGCUGUGCUUCAUGGAUACUCCAUUUAGUGACAACCCUCUAGCCUGGUGACAACCCUCUAGCCAUAGUCAGUGCUCAGUACAGCAUUCCUGAAGACUCUCCCUACACACAAGACCUGCACAACUUGAGAGGACCUCAAGAAAGAAGAAAAUUGAUUCUUCCAAGAUCAGUUCAGUGUAUUAUAAUAUCUAUUGAGAAAAAAGACUUGUGUACAUGCAUAUUGUUAUCUAUAUUGUUAAUGGUA